GGGGAAAAAAUUAAUAAAUUAUUUAUAAUAAAAGAAUUUUUAAAUAAAAUAUUAUUUUAAGGGGGUUAAAGUAUAUUUAUUGAAAAAAUUAAUUUUUUUAUAGUUUAUUAGUAUUGUGAAAGAAUUUUGAAAUAGUUGAAAAUUUAAUUUAUUUAAAAGUAAUUUUAAUUUAUUGUAUCUUGUGUAUCAGAGUUUAUUAAAAAUUUUUAUUAGGUAAUAAUUUCUCGAAUUUAAAAGAGAUAAUUAAUUAUAAAAUUUAUUGUAGCAAAAAUAUUUUAAAUAAUUAAUUGGAAAUGAAAUGUUAAUCGUUUUUAAAGAUAUCUAGUUUUUUUAGAAAAAAAUUUAAUUUUAUAUUAUUAUAUGAAAUUAUUAAUUAAUUAAUAAUUUUAUAUAAUAAUUUUAUAUUUUAGGGGAUAAGCUUUAAAUUAAAUUUAUAUAAAUUAUAAUAAAAAAUUAUUGAAAAUUAUAUAAUUUAUAUUGUUAAUAAAUUUUAAUUUAUUAUAAAUAAUUUCAUUAAAAAUAAAAUUUAAUUUAAUUUUAUAUUUUUAUAAAAAAAAAAUUUUAAAUAAUAUAAAAUUUAAUAUAAUGAUAAAAUUAGUAUAUAAAUAAAAUAAUUAAUUUAAAUUAUUAUUUUUAUUUUAAUUAAUUAAAAGGAAUUCGGCAAAAAUAUAUAUUCACUUGUUUAUCAAAAACAUGUCUUUUUGUAAAUAAUAUAAAGUCUAAUCUGCCCACUGAUUUAAUUAUUAAAGGGCUGCAGUAUUUUGACUGUACAAAGGUAGCAUAAUCAUUAGUCAUUUAAUUGAUGACUUGUAUGAAAGAUUGGAUGAAAUAUAUACUGUCUCUUAAUUAUAAAUAUAUAAUUUAAUUUUUUAGUUAAAAAGCUAAGAUAAAUUAAAAAGACGAGAAGACCCUAUAGAGUUUUAUAAGUUAAAUUAUUAAGAUUAUUUAUAAAUUUAAUAAUUAAAAUAAUUUAAUUUAAUUUGUUGGGGUGACAAAAAAAUAGAAUUAACUUUUUUUAUGGUUGAACAUAAAUAAGUGGUAAUUUGAUCCAAUAUUAUUGAUUAUAAGAAAAAAUUACCUUAGGGAUAACAGCGUAAUUUUUUUUUUUAGUUCAUAUAAAAAAAAGAGUUUGCGACCUCGAUGUUGGAUUAAGAUAAAAUUUAAAUGCAGAAGUUUAAAAUUUUUGAUCUGUUCGAUCAUUAAAAUCUUACAUGAUCUGAGUUCAAACCGGUGUAAGCCAGGUUGGUUUCUAUCUUUUGAUAUUUAAAAUAUUUUAGUACGAAAGGAUUAAAUAUUUAAAUUAAAUUUAUUAUUAUUGAAUUUCAUUAAAAUUAAAUAAAAAAUUUAGAUAUAUGAUU
rnacentral:rRNA from 1 species